CAUUACCUUUCUUUUGAUUGGAAUGAAAACUGACCUUUUCCAGUCCUGUGGCUGCUGCUAAGUUUUCCAAAUUUGCUGGCACGUUGACUUCAGGACUUUAACAGCGUCAUCUUUCAGGAUGUGAAUUAGCUCAGCUGGAAUUCCAUCACCUCAACUAGCUUUGUUCAUAGUGAUGGUUUCUAAGGCCCACUUGACUUCGCACUCCAGGAUGUCUGGCUCUACAAGGUCCACUGGAGAAUAAAAUUUUUAAUCCAAUUAUGAUCAGAAGAAUGAGAAAACAAACUACAAACCGGGAGAAAAUAUUUGCAAAAGACACGUCUAAUCAGGGAUUGUUAUCCAAAAUAUACAAAGAACUCUCAUAACUCAAGAAUAAAAAAACAAACAACCUAAUUAAAAAAUGGACCAAAGACCUUAACAGACAUCUCAUCAAAGGAGAUACACAGAUGGCAAAUCAGCAUAUGAAAAGAUGCUCUUUAUCGUAUGUCAUCAGGGAAAUGCAAAUUAAGACAACACUGAGAUACCACUACACACCUGUUAGAAUGACCAAAACCUGGGGCAGUGGCAACACCAAAUGCUAGUGAAGAUGUGGAGUGACAGGGACUCUCAUUCAUUUCUAGUGGGAAUCAAAAAUGGUACCAACUCUGGAAGACAUUUUGAUGAUUUCUUAGAAGGCCAAGCAGAUUCUUAUCCUACAAUCCAGCAGUUGCACUCCUUGGUAUUUAUCCAAAGGAGUUCACAACUUGUAACCACACGAAUCUGUACAUGAUGUAUAUAGUGGCUUUGUUCAUAAUUCUCAAAACUUGGAAGCAACCAUGUCUUUC
ensembl:lncRNA